CUUUUGAUAAUUAAAUACAUUUCUUUGCCUCAAUUUAGAUUCUUUUACCUAAUCUUUCAAUUCCAUUUAAUUAAGCUUUUGAAACCCAUCUCUCUCUCUGCCUUAUAUAUUUUGCCCUUUCUCCUUCAAAUUCCCUCAGCAUUCCUCCCACUUUCCUCAAACUCCCUUUUUAAGGCUAUUUUACAAGUGAAAGGAUGAGUCGAAGAAAUGGUCCCAAGCUUGAGUUGAAGCUGAACCUAUCACCACCGAGGCCUAAUCCACGAGUGGAAUCACCAAGGCGAGCGGCGACGCUGUCCCCGACAUCUCCUCCGAGCUCAUGUGUGUCGUCGGAGAUGAACAACGACGUAGACAUGACUGAUGCCAUCGGAUAUUCGAACAGCCCCGAGGCGACGUCGUCGUCAGCAAUGGUACUCGUAGGUUGCCCGAGGUGCCUUAUGUACGUGAUGCUUUCCAAGAAUGACCCGAAAUGCCCCCAAUGCAAAAGCACCGUUUUGCUAGAUUUCCUCCAUGAUACUGCAACCACAACUACCAAUGCUGAGACAAGAAAGCGUUAGAUUUGGAAUCCCUUUUAAUGUUGGUCUAUUAGGAUUUUUAAUUUUGUUCUUUUGUUUUUUCUCAGAUAUCGCCAUUUGUGCUCCAGUUUUCCUUCCUUUCUUUUUUUUCUUCUUAAUGAACUAGUGACCAAACACUAGUAAUUAAGAAAAGGGAGAGCACGAAUAGCAGUUUGUUUUUCUUUUUUUCAUGUUUCAUUAGGGUUCUUAAUCAUAGAACAUAGAAUAUGGUCGUUUAUGGUAGUUGGUGUCUCUGAUUUGGUCUGGUUUUGAGGUUUUUUCUUUCUGUAGCGGAUGACUAUGUGAACUGGUUCAAUUUCAACUGCCCAACUUUUCUUAUAAAAAGACUUAUUGAAUAUUGUUUACUUUCAA